UACGUAGGGAGCGAGCGUUGUCCGAAGUUACUGGGCGUAAAGCGUGCGUAGGCGGUUCGUUAAGUUCGUUGUGAAAGCCCCGGGCUCAACCUGGGAACUGCAAUGGAAACUGGCGGGCUUGAGUGUGGCAGAGGGGGGUGGAAUUCCGCGUGUAGCAGUGAAAUGCGUAGAGAUGCGGAGGAACACCGAUGGCGAAGGCAGCCCCCUGGGCCAACACUGACGCUCAGGCACGAAAGCGUGGGGAGCAAACAGG
rnacentral:rRNA from 1 species